rnacentral:rRNA from 1 species
UAGGGAAUCUUCGGCAAUGGACGAAAGUCUGACCGAGCAACGCCGCGUGAGUGAAGAAGGUUUUCGGAUCGUAAAACUCUGUUGUUAGAGAAGAACAAGGACGUUAGUAACUGAACGUCCCCUGACGGUAUCUAACCAGAAAGCCACGGCUAACUACGUGCCAGCAGCCGCGGUAAUACGUAGGUGGCAAGCGUUGUCCGGAUUUAUUGGGCGUAAAGCGAGCGCAGGCGGUUUCUUAAGUCUGAUGUGAAAGCCCCCGGCUCAACCGGGGAGGGUCAUUGGAAACGGGGAGACUUGAGGGCAGAGGAGGAGAGUGGAAUUCGAUGUGUAGCGGUGGAAUGCGUAGAGAUAAGGAGGAACACCAGUGGAGAAGGCGGCUCUCUGGUCUGUAACUGACGCUGAGGCUCGAAAGCGUGGGGAGCAAACAGG